rnacentral:ribozyme from 1 species
UAUUUUUAUUUUCUUUUUGUUUUUUCCGUUUGGGGGUGGUUCUAAUAAUUUAAGUAAUUUUUUUAUAAACA